CCUACGGGAGGCAGCAGUGAGGAAUAUUGGUCAAUGGACGAGAGUCUGAACCAGCCAAGUAGCGUGAAGGAUGACUGCCCUAUGGGUUGUAAACUUCUUUUAUAUGGGAAUAAAAUGUUCCACGUGUGGGAUUUUGUAUGUAUCAUAUGAAUAAGGAUCGGCUAACUCCGUGCCAGCAGCCGCGGUAAUACGGAGGAUCCGAGCGUUAUCCGGAUUUAUUGGGUUUAAAGGGAGCGUAGGUGGAUUGUUAAGUCAGUUGUGAAAGUUUGCGGCUCAACCGUAAAAUUGCAGUUGAAACUGGCAGUCUUGAGUACAGUAGAGGUGGGCGGAAUUCGUGGUGUAGCGGUGAAAUGCUUAGAUAUCACGAAGAACUCCGAUUGCGAAGGCAGUUCACUGGACUGCAACUGACACUGAGGCUCGAAAGUGUGGGUAUCAAACAGGAUUAGAUACCCGUGUAGUC
rnacentral:rRNA from 1 species